rnacentral:tRNA from 1 species
GCUGAUGUAGCUCAAUUGGUAGAGCAACUGAUUUGUAAUCAGUAGGUUGGGGGUUCAAGUCCCUUCACCAGCU